rnacentral:lncRNA from 1 species
GCGCUAAACAACGGAUGGCAACGAAAGCGAAUCAAAUAUUUUUAUCUGUUGCGCUUCUCUCUCUUUCGACACUUGCUCGAAAACUAUCGAAACAACAACACGGAUACAUACACUGUCUGUCUGUCUGUCUAUUAUUCUAUCCAUCUCGACUUUAUUCCACCGAGGAACAACAGCCGUCCUUUAAAAAAGAAAAAAAAUAAUACUUAUAACAUAUAAUUGAAACAAUUACUAUUAUUAUAACUAUUAUUAUUAUUAUUAUUAUUAUUAUUAUCAUUUAUCAAUUGGAGGAGUUUGGUUUCGGUGUUAUUCCCUUCCAUUCAUAGAAAUCGCAGAAUUCUCUCCAUCCAACGUAAGUCAACUUUGGAUCCAAACUAAAAAGAUUUCAUUUUGAAGUUUUCUUUAUUUCUUUUAACAAAAAUUUUUCUUUUAACACACAAACACACACACACACACGUAUUGUUUCGAAGUUCGACCUUACACAGGAAAAAAAAAAACAACCCAAACAAACAAACCCGUUGACCGGCAAGCGAUAGAUACCUGGUUCGCUUCCCGUGUUCGGAUCUGUUGGUGUGUGUGUGUGUGUUUUUUCUCUGUUGUAAAUCGAUGCCCCAGCAUGGCCGCAGUCUAAUGACUGAAAUAAGAUAAAAGAUGUGUGUGUGUGUGUGUGUUUGUGAAAUAAAGUUCUUGAGUUUUUGACAACAAGUGUGAGAAAAACAUUUAAUGUUCCCCGGUCCGAAGAAAUAUUUUUAAAUAGUUGUUAAAGGGUCACAAAGGCAAGUUAAUAUCUAACAUUGGACCCAGGGUCACAAGAAGGUGACAUCGGCCUUAGAUAAGAAUGGAUUUCUAAAAUCAAGAAUUACUUUAGCUUCGUAACUCGUUUUUAACUCAUUUCAUUAGCAAUCAAAGAUGUUAUCCCAAAAUUCGUUAAACUUUAUAAAUCUUAAUUUUUAAAUGUAAUUUAACUUUUCCGAAAAACAACUUUAUUUAUUUAUUUAUUUAUUUGGUUAUUCCAACCUAAAAACUGUUUCGAUUCUUGCAGAAUCUACGGAGUUUGUUGUCAAAAUCUUAACCGUUUACGUAUUUCAUUCAUCUCAGCUGUUCUCUCAUUCCCAGACGGGCGGAGGUUCAAAGAAGACAAUAGCAUUUAUUAUAUAAUGAUAUUGCCUAUCUACGUGUGUGUGUGUCUGUGUGUGUGUAUGUGUGAAUUCACCCUUUUUUUCAACUUCGUUCUAUUUCAAUUUUUUUUUCCCCCAACAUUUUGUUUGAAUAACGUAUUUAUUGCUAUUAUUGUUACUGUUUUAUUAUUGUUUAAAUUUCUUAUUUGUGCUUUGUCAUCUUUACACAUUGUACAGCGUCGAAAAUCUAUUGAAAUACGGAUCAAUAUUAUUUUUUUAUUGACAGGUAAACAUACGCACACAGACACACACACACAGACACUUUAGAACUUUUAAGUGCAGGAUUCAUUUACUGAACAAAUAUAUAAAUAACAGCUCAAAACAAUAACAAAAGCAUUUACCAAAGUUGUUACUCACACACACCUGAAUAUUCAUUUCGUGUUUAUCUAAUUGUUUAACCCAGCUCUGAUCGACUAGACAUUACAAAGACACUCUAGUCGUGGCCCUCCCAUAUUUUAUUUAUCACCCAUUUAUAUCAUCGCUACAUUAUCCAACGUGCCUUAAUGUAGAGUAUGUUUAAGGGAAAUUGGGCUGCUAUUUCUGGCAGUUCGGGGCAGCAAACACAAGCCGGUUAUAAUCUAUAUUUAAUCUACAUAUAAGAGGUUUAUUUAAUCUACAUGUAAGCUUAGGAUUAGCGAAAUCGAUCGAGCGUCAUUGGACUCAAUAACUUGAUGAAGUAUUGUCUUGUAGCUGAGUUCAAAACCUGCUGAGGUCGCCUUAACAUUCUAUCCAUUCGAGGAGCGAAGGUCGAUGUCCCUCAAACGCCUGUCUUAUUCAGAUAUUAAAAUGCAUAAACAGUUCUCCAGGUACUGAGUUCAAAUCGCUCCUGGAUACCAACAUUGUUUUUCACAUUUACCAAGAUCGACCAGACGGUCACGACUGGAACGCCUUUUGUUUAUAAGUUUGCUGGAUCAGGGCUGACCCAGGGUUAACCAUAUCACAUACUCAGAUAAAUUGUUGCCGAGAAUUAGAAAAUCUACCUACCAGAGGCAACUUCCAUAAAUUGUUGUUGACUAAAGUAUAAGGUAAAAUAUGAUAUAUACACCCACCGUCUGCGUAUAUAUUAUGCACACCAUAUAAAAACAUUAUUUACAAUCGACGGAUAUUUGUCCUCAUCUUGAACAAACAAGAUGAGGACAAAUAUCCGUCGAAUGUAAAUAACGUAAAUAAUGUACAUAAUUCCUCAUCUCUUAAAUAUAGAAUUAUAUAAAAACAUGUUUCUGCGCGGGAACAGAAUAAAGGAUCGCUUUUGUUUGUGUGUGUAUUCUCUUAUUCUCUUCCUUGUUUCAGUCAUUUGACUGUGGCCAUGCUGGAGCACCCACCUUGAAGGGUUAUUUUAGUUGAAGAAAUCGACCCUAGGACUUAUUCUUCGUAAGCCUUAGUACAUGUUCUAUCGGAACGUUAACACACCAACAUCGGUUGUCAUGCGAUGGUGGUAGUGGGGUGUGUGUGUGUGGGGGGGGGGGGGACAAAUACAGACACAUAGACACAUACGCAUUAUACACACACACACGUGUGUAUAUAUAUAUAUAUAUAUAUAUAUAUAAAUUUAAUCAAUAAAGGUAUUUUUUUAAUAUGCUGGCCAUUGAUAAAAUUUUUUUCGAAAAACUUUAUCCUACCUUAGAUGUGUGUGUAUAUAUAUAUAUGUAUUAUAUAUAUAUACGAUGGGCUUCUUUCAGUUUCCGUCUAAUAAAUUAACUCACAAGGUUUUGGCCGGCCCAAGGGUACACACACACACACACAGACAAACGCGUACAUAGACAGGUGCACACAAUCAGUUGUCUGUCUCACCUGUUAGGUCUGUCAAAACAGGAGCUCUAUAAUUUGUUUUUAAGGUAUGUAAGGGUCAUCUCAACUUGUAAAAGUGACAGGAUGUGUGUGUGUGUGUGUGUGGAUAGUGACGGUAGUUAAAAGGUAUUUUACUUUCCGUUCCAUAUGCUUAAGUGCAUGUACACCUGCAUACACACAUGCAUGUGUGUUCAUACGUACAUGUGUGUGUGUGUGUGUGUGUGCGUGUGUGUGUAAACAUACAUACAUAAAUGUGAAUAUGAAGUGAAGAAAAAAAGACUCGCUAGGAGACAGAUAUUAUUAAUAACCUGUUGAUAGUGACUUCGAAGUUGUGUCUGACUGUCAAUUAACGGUAGACCUUUGUGGUUACUGUCAGUAAUAGUAGUUUUAAUAAUAAUGAUAAUAAUAAUAAUAAUGAUGUUUUCCUAAUAAUAAUGAUAAAAUUCAUUUAUAUAUACGCACACAUACAUACACGCGCAUUAGUCCGUGCAUACUGGUAUACAUUUAUAGAUGCAUACACACAUGGAUGUACACACACAUCCAUCUCUCUCUCUCUCUCUCUCUCUCUUUCAUACACAUACACACAUAAAUGUGUGUGCGUGUAUGUAAUGUAUUUUUUAAAAAAUUCCUCCAAUAAAGAAAAAGCCGGUUUUGAAAUAAAGACCUGUGCUUCCUUGUUAAAAGAUUUAUGGUGUCUUAUACAUACAUAUAUUUAUAUAUAUAUAUAUAUAUAUAUGUGUGUGUGUGGAGAUAUAUGUUUACAUAUGAGUGUGUGUUUGGGACGCGACAUUGUCCUACCCCGACAUAAUUUACACCCUUAUCGUCUUGGCUUGUCUUAACCAUCAAACAAAAGUCGUGUUAUCAUUUUUUGUUUUUUUCGCCUGACUUCCUUUUUCCUUUACUUCAAAGAUUGCCUCUCUCUCUCUCUCUCCUUCUCUCCCCUCCACCUUUACAUACCUUAUUUACUGUUCCGUCAUCACACCUAGACACAACUUAAGAUGUCUGGUCUUAACCCCCAACUCUUACAUUUUUUUUUCCCUUUUCUCAAAUAUUUUUAUCUUAAGCCGAGAGGUAAAGUUCAUAAAAAGACUCUUCUUUUUCUCAGAUAAACAAGUCAAGCGGAAACUGUUAAUGUUGUUCCUGGGUCAGUUGGCACAUGUCGAACAGAUCAAAGGUAUUCCAGCCGUGAUCAUCCCGCCUUUUCCCCAGACACAGUAUAUCUACAACUAAAUUAUUCAAAAUGUCCUCCUGUUUUUUUCUUCUCAAGUCAAUAAGUUUAGUAAAUGAAAUUAUGUCCUUGGCAGUGAAUUUGAUUUAAACUCAGAACUAAAUUUCACAACCCUCAACCACUUCACCGCACCCCACCUACAACGCUAAUUGUUUCUUACUUCGAGUACAAAGCCAGCAAUUAUGAGGGGAGGGGCAAGCAGGUACAUCGACUCAGGUACCUAACUGAGGUACUUUAUUUUAUAGAGCCAGAAAUUAUGAAAGGCAAAGCUGAUCGCGUUGAGAUUUGAACCCAGGAGCGCAAAACGUCUGUCCCACUGCUUUGCACCUUGGGCAAAUAUCUUUUACUAUAGCCUCGGGUCGACCAAAGCCUUGUAACUGGAUUUGGUAGCGGGAAACUGAAAGAAGCCCGUCCUAUAUAUAUAUAUAUAUAUAUAUAUAUAUAUAUAUAUAUAUAUAUAUAAACUGCAAGAAGGUUAGGGGUUGUGAAUCCAACCCACUAAGGGAUAAUAUCUAUCCAAUAUGCUGCUGGUAGAAUACCCAAUUGUUAAUACACAAGUGUUUUUCAUUGCAAUUACAUUACCUGGGGUAUUAAAUGGGUGAAGGUAAAGAGAUAUUUUACCAUUAAUUUAUAUCGCAAAUAAUCCUUAUAUAUUACUAUAUCUUAUAUCUUAUAUGCAUAGAAUAAUAUGCUAUAUGUAUGUUAUUAUAAUUAUCAGCUUAAUAAAUAAAUAAAUAAGUUAACAUUUUAAUGUCCAAAAGUUGAUGAACCACCUAUUGUUCUCCAUUUUCUUAUUUGCGAUAUAUAUAUAUAUAUAUAUAUAUAUAUAUUUCUUUAUUGCCCACAAGGGGCUAAACAUAGAGGGGACAAACAAAGACAAAGGGAUUAAGUCGAUUACAUCGACCCCAGUGCGUAACUGGUACUUUAUAUAUAUAAAUAUGUGUGUGUCUGUGUUUGCUUCCCACCAUUACUUGACAACCGAUGUUCAUGUGUUUCCCACUCCAUAACUUAGCGGUUCGGUAUAAGAGACCGGUAGAAUUAAUAUCAGGCUUAAAGAAAGUAAAAUGUGCUGGGAUCGAUUCGUUGGACCGAAAUUCUUCUGGGCGGUGCCCUAGCACGGCUGCAGUGGAAUGAUGGAAACAAGUAAAAAAAUCUACAAAAAGUAGUAACAAAAAUUAUAAAUCAUGGAAUUUUUUUCUGCCGUAUCUUGAUUUUAAAAUAACUUAUCGAUCUUCAUAGCAUUAAUUGAUUAAGUUAAACAUUUCGAUUAAGUCUUCGCGGUUGUUCCUUGAGUUUCGUCAGGGAGUAACACUCGUACACAUAACGUGACAUGGAGAAUACUAUUGAUUUUAUUAACCUCAAGGGUCCAAGAUUUUGGGAACAAUACAAAUACGAAAUCGAAAAACUGAUGGGUGUGGGGGUUAAAACGGGAUUGGAGGGAGUCAAAAUAAGAAACACACACACACACAACAAACAAGGAAAUUAUACAUAGAAGGGUACAGUCGACCUCCGUAUAUGAUAGAUACUUUAUUUUAUCGAUCCUGAAAGAAUUUAAACCCGGAACGUAAGGAACCCCACGCUGUUUACACAUCACUAGUAAUAAUCAUUAAAUGUACAAGAGGAAUAGUUGUAUCAACCCCAGUAUUUGACUGGUACUUUAAUCGACCUUGAUAAGAAAGACUGACAAUUAACCUCAGCAAGAUUCGAACUCCAAACAUAACGGGCCCUAACUAAGUACCACUGUCCACCUUCCUAAUAAUAAUAAUCCUUAGUCACAAGGUCUGAAAUUUUGGGGGAGGGUACUAGUUGAUUACCACGACCCCAGUGUUUCACUGGUACUUGAUUUAUCGACCUCGAAAGGAUGAAAGGCAAAGUCAACCUCGGCGAAAUUUGAACUCAGAACAUAGCGAGGGGCGAAAUACCGAUUAGGAUUUCGUCCAGCGUGCUAACGAUUCUGCUAGCUCAUAACUUUCUAAAUACCACCGUCCACCUUCCUAAUGAUAAUAAUAAUCCUUUCUACAACAAGCACAUGACCUGCAAUUUUAGGGGAAGGUAGGGCUAUUCGAUUACAUCAAACCCUAGCAUUUGACUGGUACGUAUUUCAUUGAUUCCGAAAGGAUGAAAUGCAAAGUCGAUCUCAGCGGAAUUUGAACUCAGAUCAGUGACCAGAAGAAAUACCAUUAAACAUUUUAUCUCCUGUGCGGUAAUGAUUCUACCUUCACGCUACCUUAAUAAUGAUAAAAAUUAUGCGCAGGUGAGUUACUUGCUUACCAACUACAUGGUUCUGGGUUCAGUCCCACUGCGUGGUAUUUUGGGCAAAUGUCUUCUACUAUAGUCUCGGGUUGACCAAAGCCUUGUGAGUGGAUUUGGUAGACGGAAACUGAAAGAAGCCCGUCAUAUAUAUAUAUAUAUAUGUGUGUGUGCGCGUGCGUGUGUGCGUGUGUGUUUGUCCCCCCCCCCCAACAUCGCCUGACUACCGAUGCUGGUGUGUUUACGUCCCCGUAACUUAGCGGUUCAGCAAAAGGCACCGAUAAAAUAUACUUACUAGGCUUACAAAGAAUAAGUCCUGGGGUGGAUUUGCUUGACUUAAAGGCGGUGCUCCAGCAUGGCUGCAGUCAGAUGACUGAAACAAGUAAAAGAAUAAAAGAAUUUCUUUCAUUUCCUCCAAACGAGUAUGAAGAGUUACUUGGCAGGACUAAAUAAAUAGCGCUGAGAUCGGCACAGACUCGAUAGAAAUAUAAGACGUGAAAAACAAUAUAUAAAGGAUACAACGUGUUUCUGUAGUACAACCCCUGCAGGUUGAUGAUCGAAUCCUAUAGUUUCAGAGCUAUUGAUUAUGUGGGACAUGUAACCCCUCCACCCAACGACUUUGAUAUGUUCUCCGAUCUAAAACCCCAAACUGAGUGUGCGCUUAUUCACUCAAGCUUUCUUCGCUACUUUCCCUUAACUUUUCACCAAAUUCUCUGGAGAAGGGGCCAAUACCUUCCUCUUUACCCUCAACGUCCUCUCCGAAUGCAACGUCUAAUAUGAACCCCCAGUUCACAUAUUUGAUGGGGAGAGGACAAUAAAUGCCGACAAAGACCCUUGUUCAUGACUCAUUCCAGAAGCAGAGGUACAUGUUUAGAGGGCACCACGUCAUAUGUAUGAGAUGGUCGAAAUAUAAGGGUAAGAUGACAAUAGAAUAUACUUUGUUUAAUAAUUUUAGGCAUUUUAUCAUUAUAUUUAUAGAUUUAACAUAAGAGUGAAAAUUUAAAAAGGAAAUGUAAGGCAUCUGAAAUUUGUCUUCGUGGGGUUGGGGGCACCAGUAAUAAAAUAAAUACCAGUUAUAUACGGCACUAGUUUAAAUGGACCCUACAAUGAAACCCUCUCAGUUUCCUUCAUGGAGAACAAAACUGAAAUGUGUCUUGUCAUGAGCAAACUGGCCGAAUAAAUAAUUUAUCAAACUACAUAGUGACGGCUCUAAGGUUGAAACCAGCUACAGGACUUUCGCUGAACUUUUGGGGCUGGGGACGCGCGCGCACACACACAUACACACACACACACACUAUAAUUGGAUGGCUGUUGACUUUCCUGAGCUCACCGCUCCUUCACGGGUUUAGUUUUUCAUCCCUUUGAGUGUUCAAAGACCACCCUACUCAUUAGGUCAAUGGCUCAACUAUGCAACAGAUUACGUUUCCAGUAUCGCUCAAGAUACACAAACACACACAUUUAUAAAUUUAUAUACAUUUAGGAUCUUCCUAAAUAUAUUCCCGGGUAGAAUCCUUGCUAUUUCUAGCCCAGCUGGAUCAGCGUCUCCGUUGGCUAAACUGACGCAUACGUGAGUGACAAUCUCUGUCGCAUGCAGCACAUUCGUAUACGGUCUUCUUAGGUCUGUUGCAGUUACGGCGCUCCUUUUUGCAGCUGUGCUCAUUAAUCUCUUUUUCCCAUGACUUAAAGAUGUUUAUUCAGUGUGCUUCUCCAUGUUGGUUCAUGUUAUAUAUAUAUACAUGAGUGGCUGUGUGGUAAGUAGCUUGCUUACCAGCCACAUGGUCCGGGGUUAAGUCCCACUGCGUAGCAACUUGGGCAAGUGUCUUCUACUAUAGCCUCAGGCUGACCAAAGCCUUGUGAGUGGAUUUGGUAGACGGAAACUGGAAGAAGCCUGUCGUGUAUAUAUAUAUGUAUGUAUAUGUUUGUGUGUUUGUUUGUGCCCCCCCCCCCCCAGCAUCGCUUGACAACCGAUGUUGGUAUGUUUACGUCCCUGCAACUUCGCGGUUUGGCAAAAAAAGACCGAUAGAAUAAGUGCUAGGCUUACAAAGAAUGUCUUUGAGUUGAUUAUUUCUUCGACUAAAAACACUUUCAGACGCUGCUCCAGCAUGGCCGUAGUCAAAUGACUGACAUAUUUGUAAUAUAUAUAUAUAUAUAUAUAUAACAAAAUUAGAAAAUGGAGAAACAUACUUAAAUCAAUAAAACAUCAACUAUCAGAUGAUACCCAAUCAAUACUUUAUUACACCAUUACAUAUCAGUAAAGUCAUUAUACAAAAUAUACAGUAAAUGUAAAUAGACAAGGAGAUAUAAGUAUAAAAUUUCAAAUAUAAUAUGUAAUUAAAUCUUAUCUGACAGCUGUAACAUCUAUGUAUUAGUCUUGUUGGGUACCUAUCUAGCAGUAUAUUGGAUAUAUGUUAUCCCAUGUGGGUUGAAUUUUCAACCCCUAUCUCAUUUUAUAUAUAUAUAUAUAUAUAUAUAUAUAUAUAUAUAUAUAUAAAAGUUUGCUCGUCCUAUAUAUGCGGGGUGGCAUUAUUCGAAAGCUAAAACGAUGCAAUGUGCAUUGUGACUAGCGGUAUAUAACAUCCGAUAGUCUUGUCGACCACGUGAUAUAUAUAUAUAUAUAUAUAUAUAUAUAUAUAUCGCUUCAACACAGCGAUACUAGUAACCAGUCGUUACCAAUGAGUUUAUAGAAGCUUUAAAAUAAAGCGUUAGAUGACGGCAAGGUGUGAUAGAAAUUAUCGAAUGACGCUUUCCUAAAUAAACAGACAUUUCAUUUUAAUGGUUUCGUUUCUGAGCGCAUUGCUUUUUAUAGCGGAAACAGCUGUAAGCUAAUGAAGUUGAUUAUGUAAUUUUUGUUCCUUAGUCAUCCAAUUAUAUUUAUAUUAUACGCAGACAAAUAUAAACACGAGAUUUUCACAACAGGAACAUAUGUGAUCCUCGGUCUGAGUACCCGGUGAGCACUGAUCUAAGAGAGCGGGUGGGUGAGGACUACGUAGGCACGAACGACAGCAACAAUCAUAAUAACAACCUGCUCUUGUUCUUUACAUCAAUAAAUAUUUAAUUUUAAUACAAAUAGUUUUUGUUGCAAUAAUUGUUAGUUUUCUCAUAUAAAUAUUAUUUUUACUUUGUGGUGCUCCGAGUUUAAAGGGGGAAAAAUGGGUAGAGCGGGUGGAGGGAUAAAUAAAAACGAAGUAAAAACAAGCGGCAACAGAAGAACAUGAAAGUUUGUUGUGCUACAAUAGAAUGUUUAACAUAUACUUAUUAAGGUUUUAGGUAAGGAAUUGAAAGAGAAAGAAAAAAAAACAAUAUUAUUUCGACUUUUCUCACGUUAACUUUCUCAGCCAUACAACUCAAAGAAACUGGUUUUUUUCAAAGUUUCUUACAAUUUAUGCACACACACACACACGCACACACACACACACACACACACACACACACGUGUUAUGUGUUUGUGUUUAUGGGAGUGUAUGAAUUGCUGUGUCUAUGUGUGCGUGCUCGUGUACGUACAUCUUUUUUCUAUACAAUGAUGUAAAAAAAUGCCGUGUGAAUUGUAUGAGUUUGCACC